rnacentral:rRNA from 1 species
GAUGAACGCUGGCGGCGUGCCUAAUACAUGCAAGUCGAGCGAACGGACGAGAAGCUUGCUUCUCUGAUGUUAGCGGCGGACGGGGGAGUAAAACGUGGAUAACCUACCUAUAAGACUGGGAUAACUUCGGGGAACCGUAGCUAAUACCGGAUAAUAUUUUGAACCGCAUGGUUCAAAAGUGAAAGACGGUCUUGCUGUAACUUAUAGAUGGAUCCGCGCUGCAUUAGCUAGUUGGUAAGGUAACGGCUUACCAAGGCAACGAUGCAUAGCCGACCUGAGAGGGUGAUCGGCCACACUGGAACUGAGACACGGUCCAGACUCCUACGGGAGGCAGCAGUAGGGAAUCUUCCGCAAUGGGCGAAAGCCUGACGGAGCAACGCCGCGUGAGUGAUGAAGGUCUUCGGAUCGUAAAACUCUGUUAUUAGGGAAGAACAUAUGUGUAAGUAACUGUGCACAUCUUGACGGUACCUAAUCAGAAAGCCACGGCUAACUACGUG